AUCAACAUAUUAUUCCCCUCUUUAAGGCUUUCUUUUUACUCAGAAUUCAACAUGUGAAAGUACUCUCUAGGUUCUCAAUUUGUUUAGGAGAUUACGAGAAAAAUAGGAGUUUUCAGGUAUUUGUGUUUUGCUUUUUUUGAGACAGAGUCUCACUGUGUCAUCCAGGCUGGAGCACAGUGGGGUGAUCUUGGCUCACUGCAACCUCCGUCUCCCGGGUUCAAGCAAUUCUCAUGCCUCAGCCUCCGGAGUACCUGAGACUACAGGCACGCGCCACCAUGUCUGGCUAAUUUUUUGUAUUUUUAGUAGAGAAGGGGUUUCACUAUGUUGGCCAGGCUCGUCUCAAACUCCUGACCUCAAGUGAUCCACCCGCCUCGGCCUCACAAAGUGCUCAGAUUAGAGGCAUGGGCCACGUGCCUGGCCAUGUAUUUGUUUUAAAUAAAUCUAUGAUAUUCACACUCACCUACACGCCUUUCAAAAGAUGGUGGGGGGUGGGGGAUGGGCAAAACUAGACUUCCGAAAGAUGGAAGAAAAUGGGAUUGCAAUUUUUGGCCCUGCCCAAGAUCCUCUCUUUAGGCAGAAUGGCCUGCUCAUUGGCUCCCGACCAGAGUCCUGAACUCCCACAACAGCCUGGGGUCUUCUUCCUCUGUCUCUACUGAUUUAUCUUUCCAGUUUCAGCCUGACUCUCUCCUUAGAGCUUCCCCACCAUUCAGUCCAGGAAUUCCUCACCCUCGAAGGCCCAGAGUAUUUACUUCCUGUUCCACUCUCUGCUACUCACUACGGAUCAUCUUGAACCCUGUUAACCUUCAAUGGGCGUAUUUUUCACAUCCUUCCAAAAGAUCAUAGGCUGGGCUCAUUUCUUCUGUUCUUUUUAUAUUCCCUCACAGCAACCAGUAUUUACAACUAACAGAUGUUUAAUAAACAGCUGCAAAGCUCAACAUGCCCUAAUGUUUUCAAUGCAAGAAUGAAGGGGAAAGAAUGCCUCUGAAUGACUCCAAAAGCAUGCUUGGAGAAAAUGGCAAAUGUUUCUGCUGCACAUUUAGAGGCCCCAGAAUACAAAUUUGCAUUUGCACGACUUCCCUUUUCAAUGAGAAUUCAGCCUGUGAUACAGCUUCAAAAACAAGGACCAAGACCUACACACCACAACUGCUGGGGUCAUCCAGUCCAACCUGGGACAGAAGUCCUGGACAGGAGAGGUGUCAGGUCUCUCUUCCUCUGAAAGGGGGCUGCCUAACCUGUUGAUGCUGUGCUCCCAUCAAGAAGCUCACAGAGAAUGAUAUGGGCCAGUGUUUGUUCCGUUUUAGUGCUCAUACAACUCUAGCUGAGAUUAACCAAGAAAACUGCCCCUUACUGGCUCAGGGAACUCCCAUAGAGAAUUCCCAUAGGGAACUCCCAUAGGGAAUUCCAAACUUACAGGCCAGUAAGGUGGCCUGGCCGCUCUUCCACCUGGAACACAGCUCACUGAAUACGGCAGAUACCUGCAGACUGGGGGCAGAAACUGGGCUCUGGAUCCCUUUCCCAGCGGGGAGACCUGGCUUGGUUGUGAGCCCAGCCCUGCAGGGAGGCUGCAGAUCCAACACAGCUCCUCUUGGAAGCCCUCUGUGCCAGGAGGCACAGCCCAGAUGCCCCGGGAAUCCCUGAGGGAAAUUUCAUAAAACAUGUGACUAUCUACACAGCCUGCUAGAGGCCAGAUCAUUGCUCACACGGCUAAGUUGAAGCCUCAGUGCAGUUUCUACUUCAUUCAGGGAACUGGAGUUGCAGCUUUCACUAGAAGAGCUGCUUCUCCUUGAUGAACAAACCAUUCCGCCCAUAAAAAUGCUGUGGAAAGUACUGUAAACGCUAAUGCAGCCAAAAACUUAAAGACUGGUAUAGGGUUAACUGAACUGCCACGUUAAGUCAGGUGUAACGAGAUGACAAUGCUUUAAUCCUGCUGCUUAAAGCGAUGUCUAAAAUGUGCAAGUCAAAUUUCAAGCCUUUGUAAGAACAUAAUGGUAAAGAUAAUUUCAUCAUUAUCAGGUGAUGCAACAACCUGCCCGGUCCCAGGGCUGGAAUUCCAAACAGUCACGCCUUUGCAGAGUUUUACAGCCCUGGAAGAGAGGGGAGGCCACAGUGAACACCUGUGAUGAUAACUCCAGCCCAUGCCCCGGUGAUUUUUGACAAUUGAAUUAAUGUUGAAAUGAGCUUAUUUUUCUGUCCUAAAGGGAAAACGAGCCUAAAAUCCUGUUAAUCUAGCAUCCUGGUUACUCAGUUUCACCAUAAUUUAUAGGAUAGUUUUUCUAUCCAAAAACUAAGGCUAUUUUUAUCCCAACUUCGCCGCUUCAUAAAACACACGUGCAUGCAUGCAACUUCAGAGGUUUUGGCCUAAAGCAAGUUUUCAAAAUAACCGGGUUCAAAUAUUUCAUUGAGAUGGUAGGGGUGGAAGAAUCUUAUAGAAGCAAAUUUUACUGUUCUCUGUAAAUUCAGACUUCUUCAGCCACAGAUGGCUCAGGGAUCCAGUCUCGCUUGAGAAACAUGAUGGAAUAAGCCCACAGUCAGAGCUUCUUCUCAUUCAGUUUCAUGAAAGCUCUGAGCUCCCACAAGUGUCUGCUGGAACUGGACAGGAAGCUUGCAAGAUGCUGGCUACGAUUCAGCGCAGUCACCGCCUUCCCCAGUCGGCCCACCAUCCCCAGCCAUCCAACCACUUCCUCCCCACGAGGCAUCGCCCGUUGGAAAGUUUUAUUAACCAAAUGCUUGAGGGUUUCUGUAUAUUUAUAUUACCUCCUCUUCUCUCCUGUUCUACCCAGGCAUGUUGAAAAAAAAAAAAGUUAUGAUAUACUUUAAUAAAAACAAAAUUAAAAUGA